AUCGACGGCGGUGUUUGGCACCUCGAUGUCGGCUCAUCACAUCCUGGGGCUGAAGUAGGUCCCAAGGGUAUGGCUGUUCGCCAUUUAAAGUGGUACGCGAGCUGGGUUUAGAACGUCGUGAGACAGUUCGGUCCCUAUCUGCCGUGGGCGCUGGAGAAUUGAGGGGGGCUGCUCCUAGUACGAGAGGACCGGAGUGGACGCAUCACUGGUGUUCGGGUUGUCAUGCCAAUGGCACUGCCCGGUAGCUAAAUGCGGAAGAGAUAAGUGCUGAAAGCAUCUAAGCACGAAACUUGCCCCGAGAUGAGUUCUCCCUGAGACUUUAAGUCUCCUGAAGGAACGUUGAAGACGAUGACGUUGAUAGGCCGGGUGUGUAAGCGCAGCGAUGCGUUGAGCUAACCGGUACUAAUGAACCGUGAGGCUUAACCUUACAACGCCGAAG
rnacentral:rRNA from 1 species